AACGCACCUUGCGCUCCUUGGUAUUCCGAGGAGCAUGCCUGUUUGAGUGUCAUUAAAUUCUCAACCUUAUUAGCUUUUGCUGAUAAUGGCUUGGACUUGGGGGUCUUUUUGCUGGCUUUCAUUAGUCUGCUCCCCUUAAAUGUAUUAGCCGGUGCCCCGCAGUGGAACCGUCUAUUGGUGUGAUAAUUAUCUACGCCGUGGACGUCUGCUAUAAUGGGUUUGCGCUGCUUCUAACCGUCUCUCGGGACAACAUAAAUGACAAUUUGACCUCAAAUCAGGUAGGACUACCCGCUGAACUUAA
rnacentral:misc_RNA from 1 species